rnacentral:rRNA from 1 species
CCUACGGGAGGCAGCAGUGAGGAAUAUUGGUCAAUGGACGAGAGUCUGAACCAGCCAAGUAGCGUGAAGGAUGACUGCCCUAUGGGUUGUAAACUUCUUUUAUAUGGGAAUAAAAUGUUCCACGUGUGGGAUUUUGUAUGUACCAUAUCAAUAAGGAUCGGCUAACUCCGUGCCAGCAGCCGCGGUAAUACGGAGGAUCCGAGCGUUAUCCGGAUUUAUUGGGUGUAAAGGGAGAGUAGGUGGAGUGUUAAGUCAGUUGUGAAAGUUUGCGGAUCAAACAUAGUAUUGCAGUUGAAACUGGCAGUCUUGAGUACAGGAGAGGAGGGCGGAAUUCGUGGUGUAGCGGUGAAAUGCGUAGAUAUCACGAAGAACUCCGGUUGCGAAGGCAGCUUCCUGGACUGAAACUGACGCUGAGGCACGAAAGUGUGGGGAUCAAACAGGAUUAGAUACCCCGGUAGUC